rnacentral:lncRNA from 1 species
CACACUUCAAUUCAUUUACGUGACCAUCCCUUUUGUUGGCUCUUUUCCCCUUCUUUUCUUUCAUCCCCAACCAUCUUCUCUGCUUCCACCAAGCUAAAUCUCUUUCGCCAAAAAACCCUAAUCCCCAAUUCCCAUUUUCACCCAAAAUUCAACAUAAUAAACCACUUAUUCGAUACGCUAGAACAAUGUCUAAACGAUAGGUAAGUCCAGUACUCCAUCAGAGAAAAGGAAGCUUAAAUCAAUUCAACAUAAUAAACCGUUUAUUCGAGAUCCAUUUCGAGGUGUUGGAAUGGUGGUAAUCCGGUUGUUAUUGUUUCUUGUGGUGGUGAUAGUCCAGCUAAGGUUGUAUUGAAUGGUGAUUUAAGGAGGAGGCGGUCUAUUUCGGUUGCUUGGCAUCAAAUUAGUGACUCCGAGACAUGCUAUGUGCCUAUGGUAAAAAGAGUGAGAAUGAACGGGUUGACAGCAGAAAAUUGGGGAAGAUUUGAAGAGCUUGGCAUCGGUUAACAUAACAUGGGGUGAUAUGAUCUUGCAAUUGAAUCAAGUCUAACUUUAGUACCCAGUGAAGAGUUUUCGGACCGGAGUUCAAGUGCGAUGAGCAUUCAGCAGAAUUGAGUGCAAAUCCAUCUUUAGUUUUUCUAAUUUUAAGUGAAAUUUGCAGAUAGUUGAGGUUGUUUUUGCAAGGUGGCUCUUCUCCAAAAAGAAAUGUAUACUCACUUUAUUCCGGGCAUUAUUCUUCCGAUAUGUUCUUCAUAUCUGUAGUUGAUAUGGACGGAUUUUAUGAUGGAAAUCAACUUGCAAUCGUCUCAGUAUGUUGAAGAUCUUUAUGCUUACUUUAGAAGUAUGGAGAAUUGAAUGACUAUAGCGAGCCAUACGAAUUGACUUGACUGACUCAUUCAGAUCAAUGCUUCAAAUUGGUUCGCGAGUGCUGCUAUUAUGAAGUUGAAAUUUGGAUGCAUUUUGAUGACCAGAGAUGUUUCUGCUUUGAAUGUUGGUUUUUAAGUGAAACAAGCAAUCGUUGAAGAUGAACAAACAAAAGCAUUGGCUCAUAUAACUGCCCCGAAGAAGCUCUGUAAUUGUUAUUGGAAUGGCUGGAGUACUUGAUUAUUUAUUUAUAUAUAACAUCAUGUUUUCAUAUAAUUGCUGGCUAGUUUGUUCGCAUGCCAACUUGUGGGAGAUAUCAUCACUUUUGAUGCUGGACUUCGUUUAUACACGCCCAAUUACUAAACUUUGGGUCAUAGUUUUUUUUUUGUUUUCAUUGUAUUUAUAGAAUAUAUCUAAUCAUUUCUAUAUUUUGUGUCUUU